rnacentral:sRNA from 1 species
UGAUCUACUGAGUGAAUGGUCUUUAUUACCUUUGUAGUGUGUGUGUGUGUGUGUGUGUGUGUGCGCGCACACACACACGCGCGCAUGCACAAGUGCAUGCAUCAAAAAAAAGAC